rnacentral:rRNA from 1 species
UUCUAAUCGCUUCACAAUUAGUAAGACCUGCACAAUGAAUAUUAAAUAGCCGCUUUUGGUGCUAAGGUAGCACAAUAAAUAGCCUAUUAAUUAUAGGAUAGCAUGAAAGGUUUAACAUGAAGCUUUCUUUAUUAAUAUAAUUUAUCGAAAUUCUCAUGAAAGUAAAAAGACUUUCAUUUAAAAGAGGGACGACAAGACCCUGUCGAACUUCACUAACAGUUUAGCUGGGGCGGCCGAAAACCAUAUCUUUAUACAUUUACCCUUAAAAUCCUUUAUUUUGAUAUAUUAAGUUACCGCAGGGAUAACAGCAUAAUUUUUUUUAAGAGGCCUUAUCAAAAAAAAAGAUUAUGACCUCGAUGUUGAAUAAACCUCUUCUAAAAGCAGAAUUUUAGAUAGAAAGUCUGUUCGACUUUUAAACAUUUACA